AACAGUCCUUGGAUGGGGGAUGAAGUGAGGUUGUUUUCCCAGUUACAUGGAUAGUAACAGUCCUUGGAUGGGUGAUAAAGUGAGGUAGUUUUCCCAGUUACAUGGAUAGUAACAGUCCUUGGAUGGGUGAUAAAGUGAGGUAGUUUUCCCAGUUACAUGGAUAGUAACAGUCCUUGGAUAGGGGAUGAAGUGAGGUAGUUUUCCCAGUUACAUGGAUAGGAAAAGGCCUUUGAUGGGCGAUGAAGUGAGGUAGUUUUCCCAGAUACAUAGAUAGUAUCAGUCCUUGGAUGGGGGAUGAAGUGAGGUAGUUUUCCCAGUUACAUGGAUAGUAACAGUCCUUGGAUGGGAGAUGAAGUGAGGUAGUUUUCCCAGUUACAUGGAUAGUAACAGUCCUUGGAUGGGGGAUGAAGUGAGGUAGCUUUCCCAGUUACAUGGAUAGUAAGAGUCUUUGGAUGGGAGAUGAAGUGAGGUAGUUUUCCCAGUUACAUAGAUAGUAUCAGUCCUUGGAUGGGUGAUGAAGUGAGGUAGUUUUCCCAGUUACAUGGAUAGUAACAGUCCUUGGAUGGGGGAUGAAGUGAGGUAGUUUUCCCAGUUACAUGGAUAGUAACAGUCCUUGGAUUGGGGAUGAAGUGAGGUAGCUUUCCCAGUUACAUGGAUAGUAAGAGUCUUUGGAUGGGGGAUGAAGUGAGGUAGUUUUCCCAGUUACAUGGAUAGUAUCAGUCCUUGGAUGGGUGAUAAAGUGAGGUAGUUUUCCCAGUUACAUGGAUAGUAACAGUCCUUGGAUGGGGGAUGAAGUGAGGUAGUUUUCCAGUUACAUGGAUAGUAACAGUCCUUGGAUGGGGGAUGAAGUGAGGUUGUUUUUCCAGUUACAUGGAUAGUAACAGUCUUUGGAUGGGAGAUGAAGUGAGGUAGUUUUCCCGGUUACAUGGAUAGGAAAAGGCCUUUGAUGGGGGAUGAA